AGUGCAUACGGUGGAUGCCUAGGCGACAAGAGGCGAUGAAGGACGUUGUAGCUUGCGAUAAGCUUCGGGGAGGUAGCAAACAACCUUUGAUCCGAAGAUUUCCGAAUGGGGAAACCCGGCCAUUUUUAAUGGUCACCAUAUACUGAAUACAUAGGUAUAUGGAGCGAACCUGGGGAACUGAAACAUCUAAGUACCCAGAGGAAAAGAAAUCAACCGAGAUUCCCUUAGUAGCGGCGAGCGAACGGGGACCAGCCCUUAAGCUCUAUUUGUGUUAGUGGAACAUUCUGGAAAGUUUGGCCAUAGUGGGUGAUAGCCCCGUACACGAAAAUGCAUUUAGAGUGAAAUCGAGUAGGUCGGGACACGUGAUAUCCUGAUUGAACAUGGGGGGACCAUCCUCCAAGGCUAAAUACUACUUGUCGACCGAUAGUGAACCAGUACCGUGAGGGAAAGGCGAAAAGAACCCCUGUUAGGGGAGUGAAAUAGAUCCUGAAACCGUAUGCAUACAAGCAGUGGGAGCAUACUUGUUAUGUGACUGCGUACCUUUUGUAUAAUGGGUCAGCGACUUACUUUCAGUGGCAAGCUUAACCGUUAGGGGAGGCGUAGGGAAACCGAGUCUUAAUAGGGCGAAUUAGUCGCUGGGAGUAGACCCGAAACCGGGCGAUCUAUCCAUGGCCAGGGUGAAGGUGGGGUAAUACCUACUGGAGGCCCGAACCCACUUAUGUUGAAAAAUGAGGGGAUGAGCUGUGGAUCGGAGUGAAAGGCUAAACAAGCCCGGAGAUAGCUGGUUCUCCUCGAAAUCUAUUUAGGUAGAGCCUCGCAUAUUACUGUUGGGGGUAGAGCACUGUUACGGCUAGGGGGUCAUCCCGACUUACCAACCCGUUGCAAACUCCGAAUACCAACAAGUACAAUUGCGGGAGACACACUGCGGGUGAUAAGGUCCGUAGUGGAGAGGGAAACAGCCCAGACCGUCAGCUAAGGUCCCAAAAUAAUACUCAGUGGAAAACGAUGUGAAAAGGCACAGACAGCCAGGAGGUUGGCUUAGAAGCAGCCAUCCUUUAAAGAAAGCGUAAUAGCUCACUGGUCAAGUCGGUUUGCGCGGAAGAUUUAUCGGGGCUUAAGUAUUAUACCGAAGCUACGGAUGCGUGUUUACACGCAUGGUAGAGGAGCGUUCUGUAAGCCUGUGAAGGUNAAUUGUAAAGUUGGCUGGAGGUAUCAGAAGUGCGAAUGCUGACAUGAGUAACGAUAAUGGGAGUGAAAAACUCCCACGCCGAAAACCCAAGGUUUCCUGCGCAAUGCUAAUCAGCGCAGGGUUAGUCGGAACCUAAGGCGAGGCCGAAAGGCGUAGUCGAUGGACAACAGGUUAAUAUUCCUGUACCGCUUGUAACUGCGAUGGAGAGACGGAGAAGGCUAGAUCAGCCAGCUGUUGGAUAUGCUGGUUUAAGCAUGUAGGGCGUGUUCUUAGGCAAAUCCGGGAACACAUUAAACCUGAGAUGUGAUGUCGAGGACUCUACGGAGUCCGGAGUGAUUGAUGCCAUGCUUCCAAGAAAAUCUUCUAAGCUUCAGGUUACGAGCGUCCGUACCCCAAACCGACACAGGUGGGUGGGAUGAGAAUUCUAAGGCGCUUGAGAGAACUCUGGUGAAGGAACUAGGCAAAAUGGUACCGUAACUUCGGGAGAAGGUACGCCCUCUAGGUGAUCGGACUUGCUCCGUAAGCUAAAGAGGGUUGCAAUAAAAUGGUGGCUGCGACUGUUUACUAAAAACAUAGCACUCUGCAAACUCGUAAGAGGAAGUAUAGGGUGUGACGCCUGCCCGGUGCCGGAAGGUUAAUUGAUGGGGUUAUCUUCGGAGAAGCUCUUGAUCGAAGCCCCGGUAAACGGCGGCCGUAACUAUAACGGUCCUAAGGUAGCGAAAUUCCUUGUCGGGUAAGUUCCGACCUGCACGAAUGGCGUAACGACGGCCACACUGUCUCCACCAGAGACUCAGUGAAAUUGAAAUAGCUGUUAAGAUGCAGUUUACCCGCGGCUAGACGGAAAGACCCCGUGAACCUUUACUAUAGCUUUGCACUGAACUUUGAACCUAUUGUGUAGGAUAGGUGGGAGACUUUGAAGCNGAAUCGCUAGAUUUGGUGGAGUCACCCUUGAAAUACACCCUGG
rnacentral:rRNA from 1 species